rnacentral:rRNA from 1 species
CAGCAGCCGCGGUAAUACGUAGGUGGCAAGCGUUGUCCGGAAUUAUUGGGCGUAAAGGGCUCGCAGGCGGUUUCUUAAGUCUGAUGUGAAAGCCCCCGGCUCAACCGGGGAGGGUCAUUGGAAACUGGGAAACUUGAGUGCAGAAGAGGAGAGUGGAAUCCCACGUGUAGCGGUGAAAUGCGUAGAGAUGUGGAGGAACACCAGUGGCGAAGGCGACUCUCUGGUCUGUAACUGACGCUGAGGAGCGAAAGCGUGGGGAGCGAACAGGAUUAGAUACCCGAGUAGUCCCUGUCUCUUAUAA